rnacentral:rRNA from 1 species
CGUUACUUUUAUCAUAAAACUUUGGAGGAGUAAAUUUAUUGAAAUUUAACGGAUUUGACGGCAAGAUAGUCCAUUUAGAGGAACCUGUCCUGUAAACGAUGAACCACGAUUCACAUUACUUUUCUUUGUAGACAGUUUGUAUACCGCUGUUGUCAGUUAGUUUUAGAAGAAAACUUUCAGUAAUGAUAUAGUCAUUGACUUCAAGUAAAGGUGCAGCUUAUGGGAAAGUUAGAGAUGGGUUACAAUUUGAUUAAUAAAAACGGAUAAUAAUAUGAAAAAUUAUUUGAAGGUGGAUUUAAUAGUAAGGUUUCAUUAAACUUGACUAGAGCACUAACUUGU